GUGGGUAUAACUCAGUGGUAGAGCACAUGCUUAGCACACAUGAGGUCCUAGGUUCAAUCCCCAAUACCUCCA
rnacentral:tRNA from 1 species